rnacentral:tRNA from 1 species
GCCCCGUUGGUCUAGUGGUCAGGACGCCUGGUUCUCAGCCAGGAGAUCGCCGGUUCGAAUCCGGUACGGGGUG